GGUCAAGCGAAUAAGAGCUAAUGGUGGAUACCUAGGCACACAGAGGCGAAGAAGGACGUGGUUACCGACGAAAUACUCCGGGGAGUUGGAAGCAAACUAUGAGCCGGAGAUGUCCGAAUGGGGCAACCCUGUAUACUACCUGUUGAAUAUAUAGACAGGAAAGAGCCAACCCAGCGUAACUGAAACAUCUUAGUAGCUGGAGGAAGAGAAAUCAAAAGAGAUUCCCUGAGUAGUGGUGAGCGGAAGGGGAAGAGCCUAAACCAGUUGGUUUACUGACUGGGGUUGUGGGACAGCAAUAUCGAAUCUAGAGGCUAGACGAAGCAGCUAAGUACUGCACCAAAGAAAGUGAAAGUCUUGUAGUCGAAAGUCAAAGGAUAGUAGCUGAAUCCCGAGUAGCAUGGGGCACGAGGAAUCCCAUGUGAAUCAGCGAGGACCAUCUCGUAAGGCUAAAUACUACUGUGUGACCGAUAGUGAACCAGUACCGCGAGGGAAAGGUGAAAAGAACCCCGGAAGGGGAGUGAAAUAGAACAUGAAACCAUAAGCUUACAAGCAGUGGGAGUCCGAUUGAACGGAUGACCGCGUGCCUGUUGAAGAAUGAGCCGGCGACUUAUAGGCACUGGUAGGUUAAGGCGAGAAUGCUGGAGCCAAAGGGAAACCGAGUCUGAAAAGGGCGAUAAUCAGUGUUUAUAGACCCGAACCCUGGUGAUCUAACCAUGGCCAGGAUGAAGCUUGGGUAACACCAAGUGGAGGUCCGCACCGACCGAUGUUGAAAAAUCGGCGGAUGAGCUGUGGUUAGGGGUGAAAUGCCAAUCGAACCAGGAGCUAGCUGGUUCUCCCCGAAAUGUGUUGAGGCGCAGCGGUAACGAUUAAAUCUGGGGGGUAAAGCACUGUUUCGGUGCGGGCUGGGAGACCGGUACCAAAUCGAGACAAACUCAGAAUACCCAGAGAACACGUUGCCAGUGAGACGGUGGGGGAUAAGCUUCAUCGUCAAGAGGGAAACAGCCCAGACCACCAGCUAAGGUCCCCAAAUCAUCACUAAGUGAUAAAGGAGGUGAGAUUGCAUAGACAACUAGGAGGUUUGCCUAGAAGCAGCCACCCUUGAAAGAGUGCGUAAUAGCUCACUAGUCAAGCGAUCUUGCGCCGAAAAUGAACGGGGCUAAGUGAUGUACCGAAGCUGUGGGAUUAAUAAACAUUAAUCGGUAGGGGAGCGUUCCGUAGUAGGAAGAAGCAAUAGCGGUAAGCAGUUGUGGACGAGACGGAAGUGAGAAUGUCGGCUUGAGUAGCGCAAACAUUGGUGAGAAUCCAAUGCCCCGAAACCCUAAGGGUUCCAGAGCCAGGUUCGUCCGCUCUGGGUGAGUCGGGUCCUAAGGCGAGGUCGAACGGCGUAGUCGAUGGACACAGGGUGAAGAUUCCCUGACUAUGAUAUGGGAGCAUGAAUAGGGACGCAUAAAAAAUAGCCAUACCCUGAUUGGUUUGGGAGACGGUUACGACCGUCGAAUGGUGAAAGAUAGUGACCAAGAAAAGCUAGUCAUGUGAUGAACAUAUUGUACCCGUACCCGAAACCGACACAGGUAGGGAGGUUGAGUAAACUAAGGGGCGCGAGAUAACUCUCUCUAAGGAACUCGGCAAAAUGGCCCCGUAACUUCGGAAGAAGGGGUGCCCACGAGAGUGGGUCGCAGUGAAGAGAUCCAGGCGACUGUUUACCAAAAACACAGGUCUCCGCAAACUCGAAAGAGGAAGUAUGGGGGCUGACGCCUGCCCAGUGCCGGAAGGUUAAGGAAGUUGGUCAGGGGUUCGCCUUGAAGCUGACGACCGAAGCCCCGGUGAACGGCGGCCGUAACUAUAACGGUCCUAAGGUAGCGAAAUUCCUUGUCGGGUAAGUUCCGACCCGCACGAAAGGCGUAACGAUCUGGAUGGUGUCUCAGAGAGAGACUCGGCGAAAUAGGAAUGUCUGUGAAGAUACGGACUGCCUGCACCUGGACAGAAAGACCCUAUGAAGCUUUACUGUAGCCUGGAAUGGUGUCCGGGCUUCGCUUGCGCAGGAUAGGUGGGAAGCGAUGAGAUAUUCCUUGUGGGGAAUAUGGAGCUAACGGUGAGAUACCACUCUGGCGAAGCUAGGAUUCUAACUCAUCUCCGUCAUCCGGAGAGAGGACAGUUUCAGGUGGGCAGUUUGACUGGGGCGGUCGCCUCCUAAAAGGUAACGGAGGCGCGCAAAGGUUCCCUCAGCACGCUUGGAAACCGUGCGGCGAGUGUAAAGGCAUAAAGGGAGCUUGACUGCAAGACCGACAAGUCGAGCAGGUACGAAAGUAGGCCUUAGUGAUCCGACGGCGCAGAGUGGAAUGGCCGUCGCUCAACGGAUAAAAGUUACUCUAGGGAUAACAGGCUGAUCUCCCCCAAGAGUCCACAUCGACGGGGAGGUUUGGCACCUCGAUGUCGGCUCAUCGCAACCUGGGGCGGAAGUACGUCCCAAGGGUUGGGCUGUUCGCCCAUUAAAGCGGUACGUGAGCUGGGUUCAGAACGUCGUGAGACAGUUCGGUCCAUAUCCGGUGCAGGCGUUAGAACAUUGAGAGGAGCCUUCCUUAGUACGAGAGGACCGGGAAGGACGCACCGCUGGUGUACCAGUUAUUGUACCAACAGUAGACGCUGGGUAGCCAAGUGCGGAGCGGAUAACCGCUGAAAGCAUCUAAGUGGGAAGCCCACCUCAAGAUGAGUGUUCUCAUCACUUGAAGUGAGUAAGGUCACCUGUAGAACACAGGUUCUUAGGCGGUAGGUGGAAGUGCAGUAAUGUAUGUAGCCGAGCCGUGCUAACAGACCGAGGGCUUGACCUC
rfam:Nostoc sp. PCC 7107, complete genome.